rnacentral:rRNA from 1 species
GAUGAACGCUAGCUACAGGCUUAACACAUGCAAGUCGAGGGGUAACGAGAGGGAAGCUUGCUUUCCUUGUCGACGACCGGCGCACGGGUGAGUAACGCGUAUCCAACCUGCCCCCAACUAGGGAAUAACCUUGCGAAAGUAAGACUAAUACCCUAUAAUUUCCUCAGAUGUCAUCUGACGAGGAAUAAAGAUUUAUCGGUUGUGGAUGGGGAUGCGUCUGAUUAGCUUGUCGGCGGGGUAACGGCCCACCAAGGCAACGAUCAGUAGGGGUUCUGAGAGGAAGGUCCCCCACAUUGGAACUGAGACACGGUCCAAACUCCUAAGGGAGGCAGCAGUGAGGAAUAUUGGUCAAUGGGCGGAAGCCUGAACCAGCCAAGUAGCGUGCAGGAUGACGGCCCUAUGGGUUGUAAACUGCUUUUAUACAGGAAUAAAGUUAGCCACGUGUGGUUAUUUGUAGGUACUGUAUGAAUAAGGACCGGCUAAUUCCGUGCCAGCCGCCGCAGUAA